rnacentral:antisense_RNA from 1 species
CUUGAUGGAACCCAGCAGCAGCGGGCGUUCGCGCUUCUGCCCGUAGGUGGCCAGCAGCGCCUGUGCCUC